UGAGGAACAUGACCUUCGGCGGGGGAUAGCCGGCCCAACGGCCGGGUAAUACCGCGUACGACCACUUUGGGACAUCCCCGGGUGGUGAAAGCAGCAAUGCGCCGAUGGAGUGCCUCGCGGCCUAUCAGCUAGUUGGUGAGGUAACGGCUCACCAAGGCGACGACGGGUAGCUGGUCUGAGAGGAUGGCCAGCCACAUUGGGACUGAGACACGGCCCAGACUCCUACGGGAGGNAG
rnacentral:rRNA from 1 species